GACGAACGCUGGCGGCGUGCCUAAUACAUGCAAGUCGAACGAACCGCGACUAAGUGCUUGCACUAAGUCAAGGUGAGUGGCGAACGGGUGAGUAACACGUGGGUAACCUACCUCAUAGUGGGGGAUAACAGUCGGAAGCGACUGCUAAUACCGCAUAGGACAUAGGAUCACAUGAUCCAGUGAGGAAAGGUGGCGCAAGCUAUCGCUAAGAGAUGGACCCGCGGUGCAUUAGCUAGUUGGUAGGGUAAAGGCCUACCAAGGCGAUGAUGCAUAGCCGACCUGAGAGGGUGAUCGGCCACAUUGGGACUGAGACACGGCCCAAACUCCUACGGGAGGCAGCAGUAGGGAAUCUUCCGCAAUGGACGCAAGUCUGACGGAGCAACGCCGCGUGAGUGAAGAAGGUCUUCGGAUCGUAAAGCUCUGUUGUUAGAGAAGAACAGCGCAUAGAGUAACUGCUAUGCGUGUGACGGUAUCUAACCAGAAAGCCACGGCUAACUACGUG
rnacentral:rRNA from 1 species